rnacentral:rRNA from 1 species
UCUGGUGUAAUUUUAUAUUAGAUCUAACCUGCUCAAUGAAACGUUGUUUUUAAAUGGCCGCGGUAUUUUGACCGUGCGAAGGUAGCAUAAUCAUUUGUCUUUUAAUUGGAGGCUUGUAUGAAUGGUUGGAUGAAGGAGUGGCUUUCUUUAUAUUAUGGAAUUGAAUUUAACUUUUAAGUCAAAAGGCUUAGAUUUUUAAAUGGGACGAGAAGACCCUAUAGAAUUUUAUUUUUAUAUAGUUAAUUUAUUGUUUUGGUUAAUAUUUUAUUUAAUUAUUUUAAAAAUUUUGUUGGGGUGACAGUAAGAUUUAUUUAACUCUUAUAAUUAAUUUUUUUAUUAAUUAGUAUAUAUUAGAUCCUUAAUUUAGGAUAAUUAGAUUAAAUUACCUUAGGGAUAACAGCGUAAUUCUACUGGAGAGUUCUUAUUGAUAGUGGGGUUUGCGACCUCGAUGUUGGAUUAAAAUAAGAUUUGAGUGCAGAAGCUUAAUUUCUAGGUCUGUUCGACCUUUAAUUUUUUACA